rnacentral:rRNA from 1 species
CCUGACCCAGCCACGCCGCGUGAGUGAUGAAGGCCUUACGGGUCGUAAAGCUCUGUGGGGAGGGACGAAAGCCCGCCAGCUAAUAUCUGGCGGUUUGACGGUACCUCCUUAGCAAGCACCGGCUAACUCCGUGCCAGCAGCCGCGGUAAUACGGAGGGUGCAAACGUUGCUCGGAAUCAUUGGGCGUAAAGCGCACGUAGGCGGUCCUUUAAGUCGGGUGUGAAAGCCCUCGGCUCAACCGAGGAAGUGCAUUCGAAACUGGGGGACUUGAAUACUGGAGAGGAUGGCGGAAUUCCCGGUGUAGAGGUGAAAUUCGUAGAUAUCGGGAGGAACACCAGCGGCGAAGGCGGCCAUCUGGCUCAUUACUGACGUUCAGGUACGAAAGCGUGGGUAGCAAACAGGAUUAGAUACCCUGGUAGUCCACGCCGUAAACGAUGUGUGCUGGAUGUCGGGGGUAUUCACCCCCUCGGUAUCGAAGCUAACGCGAUAAGCACACCGCCUGGGGAGUACGGCCGCAAGGUUG